rnacentral:tRNA from 1 species
GGGGAUGUAGCUCAGUGGUAGAGCACAUGCUUAGCAUGCACAAAGUCCUGGGUUUAAUCCCCAGUGCCUCCA